UAAUGAAUGCAAUGUCAUAUACCAUCAACACUUGGAAACUCAAAUUGAGGUUAAAUCUCGGAGUGAUGAUGGUAUAUGACCUUGCAAUUCACUAUG
rnacentral:pre_miRNA from 1 species